AUACUACAUACACACAUGGAUAUGAAACAGGAAGUCGGUAUCCAAUUAACUCUUUGAAGUUCACCUGUAAACGUCAUAACCAGCAUAGCUCUAUCCUUGGCGCUUUUCUCUCUGUCUAUGUUUUCAAGAAUUUUCUUGACUCACUUAUUUUUGUGAAAGAAGGCCUCAUGUUUACAUGACAAAAUUAGAAGACCUCCAUUUUUAUUUGUAACCACCUUUUCUAGACUCUCGAACGGAGUUAGCUAUGAGAACUGAGUAGUGAAAGAAUAGGUUAUUUACCAAGAAACACAAGCAGGAUUUCAGUGGCAUUGAUGAGACAUUGUUACAUGAUUGUAAAGCUUUAUAUUUAUGCUACCACAGAGAACUAUCAAGAC